GAGUCGAUCGGGGGCCUCAGGGAGUCGAGGGCACCGGUGCAGGCACACGAUAGGAUAGGGUUUGGGCGGGGGUGCUGGCAUGUGGGCAGCGAUUCGACGACGCCGGCGAAGGCGCCUCGCGCGACGCCGACGAAGGCAGCCUGCCUACUACUGGCCGUGACGCCGCCGCUCCCCACCUGCAGCUCAUCUCCAAGAUCCGUCGCCGCCGCCGCCCAUCUCCAAGAUCCGUCGCCGCUACGAGGGAGCAGCGUGGUGCUGGUCUCCAAGAUCUGCCUCUGCCGCGCAGAAAUCCUACCCUUCGUCUCGGCCGUUCAUCUCCUCCUCGGGCUCUCUCUCCCUCCCUCAUCCAGGCAAAUGCAUUCGAAAAGAAUAACAAGGAGUCAAGCAAUACUACAAGAACAUCCUCGCUACCGUGGCCGCUCGCUUCUACGCUGCCAACCAGGACAUCUUCUUCGCCGCUCACUGAUCUUGGCACCAUCUCCGCCACCAAAUCCUCUCCUACCCAGCCAGAUAUGCAGAGUAUUUUAGGCCUGUUUGAAGCAACCAAAAUUAUGUGACAACCUCAAUCAGUCUCAGAUCCUCUUGAUCAGUAAAAUUCCCUGAUACAAUACAAUGAGUUAAAAAAAGGCUGAUUUGUAGAGUAAAAACUUACAGUUGUAAUUCUGCAACCAAAAUUAUUUUUUUGUGGUGCCAUCUCACUUCUGCUUGGAUCAGUUUAGUCGUCAUUUCUUGAUGCUAAAGCAUUUUUUUUUGCCUUGUUUACAUGCAUGUGCUAGGAUCUGUAUGUGCAGUAACCUUAAUUCUGAUUGCACUAGAUAGCAAAGAUACAAACUGAGUUGUAUGUGUUGCAGUCUUUAAUUUCUGAUGGAGACCAGGUUCUUAGCAACCUUGAAGACAAAGUCUAGUGAUGGAGACCAGCUUGUCUUUGAUCCUAUAGUCUUUCGAGGUCUAGUAGCCAAGUACUUCAUUAGUUCGGAGAUCGCAUUUCGGAAUGCUGAAGAUCCAUGUUGGAAAGAAAUGAUAAACUAUUGUCAACCAUCAUUCAAAGUACUGGUCAAACCCUAAUAUUGUUCUUCUCAUUGCUGCUGUUCUAGAUCCAUCCAUGAAGGUGGACUUCAUCAAAUUUUACUUCUAUACAGUUGGUGAAAACGUUGACCUGAAGAUUAGGGAGCUGAAAAGGUACUUGAAUAGAUAUUACUUGGAGUAUGAAAAGAUCUUGAGGAUCCAAUUUACCUAUUUUGAUUCCAAGUAAUCAGCAGCCCACAAGUGAGUGUGGGGAGUCUUGUACAAGUUCUUUAGGACCGGUCUGUGGUAAAAGACGAGUGGAGUAUGCAUUUGCUCAGUUUGCAUCUCAAAAUUUAGAUGCUCGUUCGGAAAGGACAGAGCUGGACACUUAUUUGGAGGAUCCUAGAGUACCUGUGAGGCUGGAUGAGAAUUUCAAUGUGAUAGCUUGGUGGAAAAAAAACUCAGAUGUGAACACAAUCUUCUCUUUGAUGGCUAGAGAUUUUCUUGUAAUUCCUGUGAGCACAGUAUCCUCGGAAUCAGCCGUUAGUGCCGCCGGACGGAUCCUCGGUAAAAACAGGACAUCACUUGCCCUAGAAACCCUUGAAGCUUUAAUCUGUGCUAAAGAUUGGUUCAUCGGAUUCAAUGAUGAUGAUGAAGGUGAGCCAAUGACUGGACAGCGGAUGUUUGCUUCAGACGAUGAGGAGGAGGGUUAUGACACUUGAUGCAGGAUGCCCUGAUGCAAGCAUGCAUGAUCGUUAUUUAAGGAGUAUGCUGAGGUUCACAAUUUUUGUUCAAUUGUUCUCCAAUCAGUAACCUCAAUAUUCAUCCUAUCUCCAUGAGUUUGUACUGAGUGACAUCCUAUGUUGUGCUCAACCAAUGGAUGUAAUUUUCUAAUUUAUCUGGUUACACAUUGUUAACAGCUAUUGUGUUUUGCUAUUUAUCUAUGACAUGUGUGGUGGUUGGUGGCAGCAACGUAUA